CGGGUGCUCGAACUUUUCUUGGAGCCCUGUUCAUGAAGUUUAACAAGAUCUCUCUGUUUAAAAAUCAGCUUGAUUUAGAUUCCAGACGCUGCGGGGUGAGACCUCCGGGGUUCUGCGACCCUCCUCAGGCUCUGCUGGUUAAAGCUAUCAUUUCCAGAGGCAGCAUAUCAGAGCAAACAUUAAUUGGAGGAUCCUUUACCGUUGCAACCCCCCUGCUGAAGACCCUUUCAUACAGAUGUUGGGACUCGCACGGCAC